CUGAUUACAGGCUUGGGCUAUUUGAAAAAAAACUGCAGGCCAUUUUAGCAAAUGUUUAGGUUUUUGUCAAAGCUCAAAAUAGGUUUGACAGAGUUUACUGAAAUUCCCGUAGAUGGAAAAGCAUAUAGGUCGUUCUUUUACUUUUCUUUUGUGGAUUUUUUUUUUCUCUCUCUUCUGGUUUAAAUGUAACAGCAAAUGCAGCAGCUUCUCUACCAUCAAUGCAAGUUAUCAUCAUGUCAUCAUGUAUAA
rnacentral:misc_RNA from 1 species